AAAACCCUAAUUUCCUAAUACACCCUAGCCAACCCACUCUCUUUCUCUCACCGUUCUCUCUCUUCCACCGCCUUACUCCCUUCAUCGCCGCCAUUCUCCACCGUCCUCGCCGCCGCGUAGCUGUUCGCGCCGCCGUCCUCUCCGCUGAGGCCCUCUAUCCCUUUCUCUUCCGCGAACAGCAGCGGUCCGAGCCGCCGCCGCCGCUGAUGUAUCCUUAUCUGAAACUCCGGCGUCGCUUCUGUAAAAUCUGGCGACUGUUCUUUCCCUCUUUUUCUCUUCAUCUCGGUUUUCCUCUCUAAUCCCUCACUGAAAGCGCGCAAUUGAAGGGAAAAAGUCGAGCCCUAGCUUCUCUCCAGCAGGAGAGGGAGACGGCGCCGCAGACGCUGGUGGUGGGCGGUGGUGUUGGAGGCUGCGGCGGCGGGGGUGUUUGCGGGGGUGGGAGGGGGUCAGAUGACGGGUCGGGUUCCCAGGAUCCGGGAAGCUGGCCCAGGCGUGAGAGCACUGACGUCUACUAUGAGAUGAUGAUACAAGCUAAUCCCGGCAAUGCUCUUCUGCUCGGGAAUUAUGCUAGAUUCUUGAAGGAGGGGAGAUUUGGCAAAGGCAGAGGAGUAUUGUGAGAGGGCGAUUUUGGCGAAUCCAAGUGAUGGUAAUGUGCUAUCACUAUGCGCUGAUCUAAUAUGGCAGACGCAAAGAGAUGCUACUCGAGCUGAGGCCUAUUUUCAUCAAGCUGUCAAAACUCACCCCAAUGACUGCUAUGUUCUGGCUUCGUAUACUCGAUUCUUAUGGGAUGCCGAGGAUGUCGAAGAAGAAGAAGAGGAACAAGUAAACGAUUUGUAUGAAAAAAGAAACAAUCUUCCAUCCAACUUCUUCCUCCGAAAUUUUUAGCGAAUUUCAAUAUUUAGCUUCAAUUUUGAUUUAGUUUUUAUAAAAUCUAACUUUGAGAAAUUAUUUGAUUACAUAUGCAAGAGCUUGUGUCUAAUAGUUUGGUUUUAGAAGCUGCCGCCGCGCCAGAUCGUGCCUUAGCCAAAAAAUGCCAGAGAGAGGACCCAACUACUCGUCGUAUUUGUAUUUGCAAGAAUAUGAUGUUAGGCUAGCUCUGGAUUAGCUGCACCUGCAGAGGACAGUACUUUCAGGGCAGCUGGUGCAUCCCGAAUUGAAUCGUCGUAUAUUGUUGGGUUACGAGAUCUUGAUAUGAAACACGUUAAAGAUUUCAUCUUCAUACACAUAUCUCAUAUGUGGAUGACACUGAAGUUUUCAAGUACUAGUUCUUGGCGGAUCAAGUUGAUGGGAGUCGAUGCACUGUUUUUCAAUCGAGAAUGCAGCCAAAAACUGAGUUAUGAGAUGGAAGGCUAAAGCAGAGAACGUCGUUUCAAAUCUUAUAUUUCAAUCUCUAUACGCAGGUGCAUAUGAUGUAUAGGUGCAUAUGAUCGGUUCCCGUUUUGAGGAAGUAAUUUUUUGUAGUAUUUUGUUGUGCAUGUAGUAAAACAUGUAUUAACAGGCAACUUGUGUUGGAUACUAUGUUAUAUAUGCUAAUAUUAUAUUGUCAA